UACGUAGGUAGCAAGCGUUGUCCGGAUUUAUUGGGUUUAAAGGGUGCGUAGGCGGCCCUGUAAGUCAGUGCUGAAAUAUCCCGGCUUAACCGGGAGGGUGGCAUUGAUACUGCGGGGCUAGAGUACAGAUGAGGUAGGCGGAAUUGACGGUGUAGCGGUGAAAUGCUUAGAUAUCGUCAAGAACACCUAUAGCGAAGGCAGCUUACUAGGCUGUAACUGACGCUGAGGCACGAAAGUGUGGGAUCAAACAGG
rnacentral:rRNA from 1 species